AUUUAUAUAAUAUGCUUUGUAAAGUAUAAAUAAAUAAAAAAUGGUUCGUGCGAUUAUUCACUUCCCAGCCCUGGGCUUGUCAGCCCUGGUGUGUUGGAAGUGAACUCAGCAUGCACGAACUUAGUUGUCAGUUCCACUGGAGCUGGAAAGAUAAAUUAGUAACAACCCUCGCGUUGCUAAGCCGCCACCCAUAGUCAUUCCAAAAGUUGAAAAUAUCUUACAGACAAUUAACCAGAUCAAAACUCUUAUUGGUGAAGGCACUUUCUUUACCAAAAGCACCAAUACUGGAGGAUUGCGCAUCAUGUGUAGCAACAGCGAUGUCUUUAGAACGCUCAGAAGAUUUUUUGACGACGAAAACACCAAGAUACCAUGUUAUACAUAUCAACUCGAAUCGGAACGUGGAUACAGAGUUAUCAUACGCGAUCUUCACUACUCGACAGAUACUACCUACAUUACUGAACUUCUGACAGCAUCAGGUCAUAAUGUAAAAUACAUUAAUGUUCUCAAGUGGAAACACACUGGCCAACCUAUGAACAUGUUUGAAGUCGAGCUGAUGCCCAAUGCAACAAACCCCGAAAUCCUCAAAA
rnacentral:lncRNA from 1 species